CAACAACCAUUUCACAAACGUUUCUGUAACAUUUGUGUUAAUCCAGUGCCGCACAAGCAGAUCAGGCGUGCGCGCGGGAGUGUUGCUAGGCGGCCAGUUACUCCGUGCGUGUUUGUUUUGCUCUAGCCUUCGGUGUGUGCGUUGAUCCGCUUCGGGC